UCAACGGUUGAUUUGUCAUCAGGUCUUUGCACUCCCCUUAUCACUCUUUUUCCAUGUUAUAUAGUGAUAAAUUUUACUGAUACGUUAGGAUUUUGCUUUGUAUGAUGCUUCACUUGGCAGGGAAAGCCUGGGUGUCACCAUCAGAAAGAUAUGCUGUCGUUCCUGAUGAAUCGGUGAGCAGUUUCUUCUUCUUUCCUACUUGUUAUGAAAGUUGAUAUGAAAGUUGGAGAGAUUUGAAAUUUUUGUUCUUGUGUGAUUAUGUUAAAAAUUUGCACUUAAUGUGCUUACCUAUGAUAGAGGUAUGCUGGAUGGCCAUGAAAUUGUUAUGAUGAUUAAUUAACACGUAAAAAAUCGAAGAGCAUAAUUUAAAAAAUAAAUAAAUAA
rnacentral:misc_RNA from 1 species